rnacentral:rRNA from 1 species
CCUACGGGUCGCACCAGUGGGGAAUAUUGGACAAUGGGCGCAAGCCUGAUCCAGCCAUGCCGCGUGAGUGAAGAAGGCCUUAGGGUUGUAAAGCUCUCACCGGUGAAGAUAAUGACGGUAACCGGAGAAGAAGCCCCGGCUAACUUCGUGCCAGCAGCCGCGGUAAUACGAAGGGGGCUAGCGUUGUUCGGAAUUACUGGGCGUAAAGCGCGCGUAGGCGGAUAGAUAAGUCAGAGGUGAAAUCCCGGGGCUCAACCCCGGAAUUGCCUUUGAUACUGUUUAUCUUGAGUGCAGAAGAGGUAAGUGGAAUUCCGAGUGUAGAGGUGAAAUUCGUAGAUAUUCGGAGGAACACCAGUGGCGAAGGCGGCUUACUGGUCUGCAACUGACGCUGAGGCGCGAAAGCGUGGGGAGCAAGCAGGAUUAGAUACCCGAGUAGUC